rnacentral:lncRNA from 1 species
ACAGGUCAGGGAAGACUUAUUCAGGGAUGAGAUGUGGAGUUCUCAUAACCCAAGGCAGCCAUUGGGGAGAUUUCAUUCCAAUGAAGCAGUUAGAUGAGUGAAAACAAAUGAACAUAAAAUAAGUAUAUAAUAACACCUAGGGAGAAUUAAACAUCUCUCCACUUAACAGCUGUCACAGAGAUAAUCGUAGCAACUAGAUUGAUUGUGGAAGAUGAAACUGUAAGUUUAAAAGGGAAGCAGCUGAGUUUGCUUAUAUCACCUGCAAAGGGACUACUUUUCUUUGGCAGAUUGAUAUUGCACAAAGGUUUGAAGUUUCAUUAAAGACGUAUGGCUGGAUGGCGAUGUGGUGUGUUACAGAACCUGUGUGGAUAAUCAGACAAUGCAUUGUAUCGCACUAUCAGGAAAUGCAAUGGUACUAAUGCCGCCUGCAUCAUGCUCUCCCUUGAACAGCACCUUUACACAAAGAAGCAGUUUGACAUUGUGUUAAGCCUGUAACAAUAAAAAUAUCAUCAGCACAUUUAUUAUAUAAUGACAGGUGGAUGUAUGUCCAUUGGGAUCUCCUUUUCCAAUUUUAUAAUUUUAUAACACUUUAGUAUCUAUUGUAACUUUGAAAAGUAGUUGCUUUCCCAUCCUAAUAAAGUCCUUGUAUGCAUAAUGAAAGAAUUAAAAAAAUAAAAAAAUGAAAUAUGAACAGCCAAACAAAAAAAAAAAAGAAAAU